rnacentral:tRNA from 1 species
AAGGGAGACCUAAUUCAGGUAGGAGACGAAAAAAAAGUAGUCGCUACCAAGAAUCAAUCCCAAAAGGUCGAAGCGAGGCAAGAUUGGCUUUCAAACUAGGUUCUGGGUUCACACAAGACCUGAAUCAGGAACAAGGGCUAUUAGCUCAGGUGGUUAGAGCGCACCCCUGAUAAGGGUGAGGUCCCUGGUUCGAGUCCAGGAUGGCCCACCUGUACAGGUGGCAAAAAGAAAGAAAAGAAGCGAGGAAUCAGCACCUUAUCUUACUGACAUAGUAAGAGAGAAUGCUGGCUCUGAGUAAAGAGUCCAGAGGAACCUUGAAAACUGCAUAGAGCUAGGUGAAAAAGCCAAAAAAGAAGACCGCAA